GCAAACUUGGUCAUUUAGAGGAAGUAAAAGUCGUAACAAGGUCUCCGUUGGUGAACCAGCGGAGGGAUCAUUAAAGAGUUUUAUAACUCCCAAACCCCAUGUGAACAUACCGUACGUUGCCUCGGCAGGUCGCGUUUACCCUGUAGCACCCUACCCUGUAAGACACCUACCCUGUAGGACUUACCCGGUGGCACCUACCCGGUAGAUGCGGGUAAGCCUGCCGGUGGCCCAUAAGAAAAAAAAUUCUGUUUUUGGCAUUGUAAUUCUGAAUACUAUAACUAAAUCAGUUAAAACUUUCAACAACGGAUCUCUUGGUUCUGGCAUCGAUGAAGAACGCAGC
rnacentral:misc_RNA from 1 species